UAAGAUUUUAAGUUAUAUAAACUCACACCCUUCAAAGGUGCAAAAAAAAGUCCAACCCUUUUAAAUCUUA
rnacentral:tRNA from 1 species